UCUCAGGACUUAAUGAAGCUUAGCUUCUUUAUGUCUCAGCACAGAAGGAAUUCAGCGAGAGGCAAAGUAAUGGGUAAGAAGUAGAUUUAUUAAUAUCCUUUGUAGAAAGGUUGCAGGAAAAUGGGACACGAGUGGACCCGAAAACACCUCUGACUGAGCCCAGCUAGAAGCCAGAUUGGGACUUGAACCCAGAGGCUUUUUUUUUUUUUUGCUUUUUAGGGCCACACCAGCAGCAUGUGGAAGUUCUCAGGCUAGGGGUUGAAUCAGAGCUGCAGCUGCUGGCCACAGCAACUUGGGAUCCGAGCCGCAUCUGUGACCUACACCACAGCUCACAGCAAUCCUGGAUCCUUAACUCUCUGAGCGAGGCCAGGGAUCAAACCCGAAUCCUGAUGGAUACCAGUUGGAUUCAUUACCAGUAAUCUGCAACGGGAACUCUGGGCUGCAUUUUUAUAAUCCAAGGAAAGUGGGGGUUGAGAAAGACUACCUUCUUCCUCACUCUUGAGAUUCACCGUCAGGCUUCCAUCACUAGCUCCUGCUUCAUAUAGGGUGAGAGAGAAUUUGACCCGAUGAGGUCAAACUAGGACUGUCCUGAUGCUUAUUCAUCAGAUCAGCAGAAGGGUAGCAUGUGCUGAAAGAGGUCGAAUCAGCUCAGGUUUGCCUGUGGUGAGGGUGUCCAGCUUUGGAAUGUCAUCUUUCCCUUCCAUUCCUGUCCCUCGUCCCACGGGUCAUCAUCUUGCUGAACUUGAACGCAGGCCUCUUUUUCUCUUUCCCUGAAUGACCUGAGGCGUUCCUCUGGCUUUUACUUACGGUUUUAUAGUUAAGCAGCAAGGCUGCUUCGUUCCACAACGUUCUGAUGGCUUUCUUGAGCCACCGUUAACUUCCAGUGGUCUCCCAGAGUUCCCUCCUCUCUAUCCGUGGUCCCCUCCUGGGACUUCUGCAACUACCUGUGUAGCUGUCCUCCUCUCUGCCUAUCAAGGGGUGAUCGUGUCCCAGGUCUCAAAAGAGUUCCUGGAACUGGCUGCCAAGUGAGUCCUUCAUGCAGGAAAGAAUUCAAGAGUGAGCCACAGUAAAAGGAAAGCAGAAGUGACAUUCCGUAGACAGAAUGUGGUCUAUCUCAGGAGAUGAGUGCGGCCCUGGUAGAGACACUCCAUAGAGUGCAGGCCACCUUAGAAGGUGAGAAACCUACGAUCCCACUUUAGAAAUGAGGAAACAGUUAGAGAGGUAAAGGAAUGCCUAAAGUCAUAUAGAGCUGUGAUUCUUAAGCCUAUGCUUACCAUCUAUCAUAUAGCCUUAUCAUCUACCAGCAGCUGAAAGGGAGCAAGUCUUUGCUUCACUGCAGAGUUUUCAGUGUUAAAAUGUACAGGAAGUUCCCAAAUUUCUCUGCUGUCAGUCUCAGCAGCGCUCAUAAUUCUCUCCUAGACAUUUAUCCAUUCUUUGGAGUUCCUGUCGUGGCUCAGGGCUAAUGAAUCCGACUAGGAACCAUGAGUUGUGGGUUUGAUCCCUGGCCUUGCUCAGUGGGUUAAGGAUCCGGCGUUGCUGUGAGCUGUGGUGUAGGUCACAGACUUGGCUCUGAUCCCGCGUUGCUAUGGCUCUGGCGAAGGCCUGCCGCUGUAGCUCUGAUUAGAUCCCUAACCUGGGAACUUCCAUAUGCCGAGGGUGCGGCCCUAGAAAAGGCAAAAAGACAAAUAAAGUCAUGCUUACAUACUUAUAAUCAUGACUCUCAGUGAAGCCUGAAAGUGCUCUGAAGACAUAUCAACAAAAUGAUGAGAUUCUGUGCCUUGUUUCCUGUAGGCACUGCUGUGGUCAGCAUGCCAUUGUGGGUAAUGGAAGUCAGCUAGGAUGCAGGAGAGCAAGCAAAUGGGAUAUUUAAACUCUAUGAACCUAUUUCUUCAUCUUUGUAAAAUGAGAGGACUAGAAUUUUAAAGUCUAAGUGACUUUGAAAGAUUCAGCUAUUACAUUCUGUAAUAGUAAACAGUUGUACCCAUAGCUUUGAGAAAAUAUAAAGUGGGAAGAAAAGAUCAGUUCGGAUUGAUAACAAAUGCAUAAUGAUCAGCAAGCCAACAUUUCUGGGUUUAUUUGAGCUUAAUUUUAGGGUUGCUGGAAUUGUUUUGUUUUCUGCUUCUUGAUAGAAAAUUUAAAAGACGUAGGUAUUCUUCCCCCAUAACAUGAGCCUUCUAAAAUAUCCUUAAAGAGUAGGGUUGGGAGUUCCCUUGGUUGUGUAGCAGGUUAAGAAUCUGAUGUCACUGCUGUGGCUUGGAUGGCAGCUGUGGUGCAAGUUUGAUCCCUGGCCCCGGAAAUUUUACAUGCACCAGCAUCACCAAAAUAAAUCCACAAAACCAACUGGGGUUAGUGGCUGUCUGUUCUAGAAUCUGUUGUUUAAAAAAUGUACUACUGGAGUUCCUGCUGUGGCUCAUUUGAAUUGGCAUCAUCUCUGCAGCUCCAGUUCCAUCCCCAGUGGACACAGUGGGUUUAAGGAUCCAGUGUUGCUACA
rnacentral:lncRNA from 1 species